UNUGACUUGAGUGCAGAAGGGGAGAGUGGAAUUCCAUGUGUAGCGGUGAAAUGCGUAGAUAUAUGGAGGANCACCAGUGGCGAAAGCGGCUCUCUGGUCUGUCACUGACGCUGAGGCUCGAAAGCGUGGGUAGCGAACAGGAUUAGAUACCCUGGUAGUCCACGCCGUAAACGAUGAGUGCUAGGUGUUAGGCCCUUUCGGGGGCUUAGUGCCGGAGCUAACGCAAUAAGCACUCCGCCUGGGGAGUACGACCGCAAGGUUGAAACUCAAAGGAAUUGACGGGGGCCCGCACAAGCGGUGGAGCAUGUGGUUUAAUUCGAAGCAACGCGAAGAACCUUACCAGGUCUUGACAUCCCGAUGCUAUUCUUAGAGAUAGGAAGUUACUUCGGUACAUCGGAGACAGGUGGUGCAUGGUUGUCGUCAGCUCGUGUCGUGAGAUGUCGGGUUAAGUCCCGCAACGAGCGCAACCCUUAUUGUUAGUUGCCAUCAUUAAGUUGGGCACUCUAGCGAGACUGCCGGUAAUAAGCCGGAGGAAGGUGGGGAUGACGUCAAAUCAUCAUGCCCCUUAUGACCUGGGCUACACACGUGCUACAAUGGUCGGUACAACGAGUUGCGAGCCGGUGACGGUAAGCUAAUCUCUGAAAGCCGAUCUCAGUUCGGAUUGGAGGCUGCAACUCGCCUCCAUGAAGUCGGAAUCGCUAGUAAUCGCGGAUCAGCACGCCGCGGUGAAUACGUUCCCGGGCCUUGUACACACCGCCCGUCACACCACGAGAGUUUGUAACACCCGAAGUCGGUGAGGUAACCUUUUAGGGGCCAGCCGCC
rnacentral:rRNA from 1 species